rnacentral:tRNA from 1 species
CCCGUAGCUCAGCCAGGCAGAGCGUCGGACCGCCCACCCGAAGGUCGGGGGUUCAAAUCCCCCCGGG